rnacentral:rRNA from 1 species
GACAGAGGGUGCAAACGUUGUUCGGAAUUACUGGGCGUAAAGCGCGUGUAGGCGGCUGCGCAAGUCGGAUGUGAAAUCCCAUGGCUCAACCAUGGAAGUGCACCCGAAACUGCGUAGCUAGAGUCUCGGAGAGGAAGGCGGAAUGCUUGGUGUAGAGGUGAAAUUCGUAGAUAUCAAGCGGAACACCGGUGGCGAAGGCGGCCUUCUGGACGAUGACUGACGCUGAGACGCGAAAGCGUUGGGAGCAAACAGG